CUCCAGUGAGUCUGCAUCAGAACCUGUCACAUAAAUGGAACACGGCUUAACCCCAAGCUUCAGAGAAGACCAGGAGAGAUUCCCACAGGGGAAGAACUGCCAGUAUGCUGCUCCCCAGCCUGCUUUGGUCUAUCACAGCCUUCAUCUGCCUGGGAUGGAGCACAGCCCAAACAGUCACCCAGAGUCCACCAGCAGCUUCUAUUCAGGAGACGGAAGCUGUGACCCUGGAGUGUGUGUAUACUACCAGUGAUCCAUAUUAUUAUUUGUACUGGUACAGACAAUCUCCUAAUGGGAAGCUUAUUUACAUCCUUCUUCAGAGUUCUCAAACCAGUAGUGUAAGAAGAGGUCGAUAUUCUGUGAACUUCCACAAAGAAGCCAAAUCCAUCAGCCUCACCAUCUCGUCCUCACGGCUAGAAGACUCAGGGAUGUAUUUCUGUGGCCUCAGGCGUUCUCACAGUGCAUUAAUUGAUGGAAAAAGCUGUACAAAAACUUCAAAGAUCAACAAGAGACACUUACCCUCACCUGCACCCCCAUUAAAGCAGGUCAGAGAAGAGCCAUUAUUAAGCCCCAGAGCGGAAGUAGGUUGGAAAGAGGAGACUUUAGGUGAGCACAGUGGUAGAGUAUGAAAAGAAAACUGUUGGCAUUCUAGGAAAAACGCUCCCACAGUCCCCUGUCUAGCCAAAGGAUGAUCGUGUAAUAGAUAAAGUCAUAUAGUAAAAUACUAAAAGAAGCUAAAUGCCUACUGAUUGUGGUGGCUGGGUUCAAAUAGUUUGGUUUGGCAGAAGGCAGACACAAACACAGCAGACUCCUCCAGAUCUUUUCAUUGGGUUGACUUUUGAGAUUUAUAGACCUUCACUGGACCUAUUCCUCUCUAGAUUUCCUUCCUCCAUAUCAGGAGGCAGCUAA